GACGAACGCUGGCGGCGUGCCUAAUACAUGCCAGUUGAGCGAUGAAGAUUGGUGCUUGCACCAAUUUGAAGAGCAGCGAACGGGUGAGUAACGCGUGGGGAAUCUGCCUUUGAGCGGGGGACAACAUUUGGAAACGAAUGCUAAUACCGCAUAACAACUUUAAACAUAAGUUUUAAGUUUGAAAGAUGCAAUUGCAUCACUCAAAGAUGAUCCCGCGUUGUAUUAGCUAGUUGGUGAGGUAAAGGCUCACCAGGGCGAUGAUACAUAGCCGACCUGAGAGGGUGAUCGGCCACAUUGGGACUGAGACACGGCCCAAACUCCUACGGGAGGCAGCAGUAGGGAAUCUUCGGCAAUGGACGAAAGUCUGACCGAGCAACGCCGCGUGAGUGAAGAAGGUUUUCGGAUCGUAAAACUCUGUUGGUAGAGAAGAACGUUGGUGAGAGUGGAAAGCUCAUCAAGUGACGGUAACUACCCAGAAAGGGACGGCUAACUACGUG
rnacentral:rRNA from 1 species